rnacentral:rRNA from 1 species
GACGAACGCUGGCGGCGUGCUUAACACAUGCAAGUCGAACGGAAAGGCCCUGCUUUUGUGGGGUGCUCGAGUGGCGAACGGGUGAGUAACACGUGAGUAACCUGCCAUUGACUUUGGGAUAACUUCAGGAAACUGGGGCCAAUACCGGAUAGGAGCUCCUGCUGCAUGGUGGGGGUUGGAAAGUUUCGGCGGUUGGGGAUGGACUCGCGGCUUAUCAGCUUGUUGGUGGGGUAGUGGCUUACCAAGGCUUUGACGGGUAGCCGGCCUGAGAGGGUGACCGGCCACAUUGGGACUGAGAUACGGCCCAGACUCCUACGGGAGGCAGCAGUGGGGAAUAUUGCACAAUGGGCGGAAGCCUGAUGCAGCAACGCCGCGUGCGGGAUGACGGCCUUCGGGUUGUAAACCGCUUUCGCCUGUGACGAAGCGUGAGUGACGGUAAUGGGUAAAGAAGCACCGGCUAACUACGUG